rnacentral:rRNA from 1 species
CGUUAGCGGCGGACGGGUGAGUAACACGUGGGUAACCUACCUAUAAGACUGGGAUAACUUCGGGAAACCGGAGCUAAUACCGGAUAAUAUUUCGAACCGCAUGGUUCGAUAGUGAAAGAUGGUUUUGCUAUCACUUAUAGAUGGACCCGCGCCGUAUUAGCUAGUUGGUAAGGUAACGGCUUACCAAGGCGACGAUACGUAGUCGACCUGAGAGGGUGAUCGGCCACACUGGAACUGAGACACGGUCCAGACUCCUACGGGAGGCAGCAGAG